ACUGCGGUAGUCUAACAGACAUUUGAUUUCGACUCAAAAGAACUUAAAACAUUAAGCCACAGUA
rnacentral:tRNA from 1 species